AUGCUCAUUAUGGCAGCACAUAUACCAAAACUGGAACAAUUAAGAAAUUAGCAUGGCCCCUUUCUUUGCAAGGAUGACAUGCAAAUUCAUGAAGCACUCCACAUUUAA
ensembl:snRNA U6 U6 spliceosomal RNA